GUCGGCGUGGCGGAACUGGUAGACGCGCAUGGUUGAGGGCCAUGUGGACUUCGGUCCUUGGAGGUUCAAGUCCUCUCGCCGACA
rnacentral:tRNA from 1 species